rnacentral:tRNA from 3 species
GGAGAGGUGGCCGAGUGGUUUAAGGCGCACGCCUGGAAAGUGUGUAGGGGUGAAAGCCUCUCGAGGGUUCGAAUCCCUCUCUCUCCGCCA